UUGUCAUGGUGCCUGUCGGGCUCCUCCCCCUCCAACACUGCCAGCCAUGCUUUCUAAUCAUCUCCAGCUGACACCACUCAUCUCAUCUACCUGCUGCUUAAAAGGAGACCCAACGCAUCAGUUCAACGCCAGUUCGUUAACCUCUAUGGAAACCCUCGUCACGACACGAGAGACGUCAGUAGGAGCCUCGGAUCCCUCCACAGCAGCCCACCGGACCACGUCUUCCACGCGGACAGCGUCCGUACCUCCAGCCUCGCCACUAGCCACAGCUGCCUCGGAACCGACGUCAACACCUCAGUACUCCCAGGAAUCAAAAUAAACUUCUGCUUACCUGUCA